UUAAGCAUAUAUUUUGACUCCAUUAAAGGGGAACUAUGCAGUUUUUUUUUUUUUUGUAGCUUAAUUUACCUUAACUGAACAGCUUUGGAGUCUUUGGAAUGGUUAUGUGACUUUUUUGGAUUGAAUGGUGGUCGUCUCGCUCCCCACUAUCGUCUGUGAGCGGGAAACCCCGCCUUGCAACUUUGGGCCGGCGAGUAGUCGGCCGAAUUGUCAGGAAGUAUUGGGUGAUAUCAGGUCUCGCGCUGUAACGAAUAGCUUCAUGGCACUGCAAACAUACGCCCAUUCAGGUACCGGCUAACAAGGUAGCGAUGGAGUUUUUCACAUUAUCGUCAUGGCUGAGCCGGC